GGGACCCGGCUGGGCAGAGGUGACCACACGGAGAUGGACGGGGAUGGUCCUGGGCGGGGCGUCUAGCCCAUCACCAGACCGUUGCCACGGCCCCUGGCCUGCCCCCCCACCACGCAUGUCUGGUUGGGCACAGCCCGAAGAUGCCCCUGGCCCUGGGAGGAGGGCUGGGUGAGCACAGAGAAGGCUGGGCCUGGGGGUCCUGGGGCCUGAGAGCCGGACCGGCAGCCAGCAGCACCACGAGAAGGGAGCCAGCUUCGGUGCAGAGACCACCAUACAGGCCUGGGAGUCUGGCUUUCUCCUGCAAACCACCCCCAAGGACUCUCAGCGACGGCCCUCAGUUCCUCUCGGGGACCAGAGCCCCGUCCUCUGCGCGCCGUGCCCACCCCAGCCCCGGCCGGCACAGUGGCUCCUGCCGGCCGGGCGGGCCGGACUCCCGGGCAGAAACGCUCGGUAGGGCCCGGGCUCCCUCCUACGGGGCUGGCCUGGGACACUCGGGGAUUCCAUGGAUUCCGCUGCCCGGGGAAGUCAGUGGGUGCCCAAGCAGUUUGGAGGCUCUGCUUGCCGUCACUCACCCUCGGAGAGGCCGGCAGAACCGUCCGGCAAGGAGGGACUUACGGAAGAAUGGACGCCACUGCCCCCGCGGCCGGGAGUGAGUGAGCACCAGCGACAGACUGGGUCUCGGCCGGUGGGGGGCAGAGCCGACACACCCAGGGCAGUGGGGGUCUAAGAAGGCACAGUGGGGAGUCGGACACACCUGGCUCCUGCGUGACCCUGCGGAGUCCCUUGGGCUCUCUGCACCCGGCUGUCCCCGUCAGUAGAGGGACAGGAUGCCUGUAUCACAUACGGGGCUGCAGUGAGGGCGGAAGACAGUAACGUACAUGUAUAUGGUGCACACAUCCACGCACGCUUGCAUGCGCACGCCCAGCGCAGGGAGCGAGAUUGUGGGCGCUGGAGUUCCGUGCCAGUAAGUGGUCAACAACCAGCUCGGGGCACUGGAGGCAGGACAGCCCCCCCGAAGCCUUUGCUGAUUUCCACGGCAUAACUAUUCCCACCUCGCUGGAUUGCAAGCUCCCAGCGCGCUGUCUCUGACUCAGAGCCGGGAGGGCGCGCCGUCAGCUCCGGCAGGCCAGUCCGCGGCUCCGGCACUCUGCCGGAGCCCACGCCACGGCGCCCCAGAGCGGUGGCCUGGUGGAGCCACGGAGGGGCCUUUUCAAGAUGCAGCCGAGGGGACAGCUUGGAGAUGACACCUUGUGAGCGUGAGGACGGGCCCCUCCAGGAUACAGCAGACACCCUGGCCAGCGACCUGUUCCCAAGAUGGCCAAUACAAGUCUAAGAGCCAAGGGGAGUGCGGUGGGGUCCCUGCCACCAGCACUCCCAGGGAUUAAGUGGGGAGCUUGUCUUCCUAGGCACGUUAACUCCAGGGUCCCAGAGAGAAACUUUCUCCAGGGGCAGUAAGAGCUCCCCACAACGUCCCCGUCGACCACCUCCUGGUAACGCCAGGCUCCGUGCACCCAGAGAGCCGCAGGUCGGGAGGGAAGUGGUCCCACCAGCAGGUGACUGGCCUGUUAACCAGGACUCACGGCCCCGCGGGGGGGCCAGGGAGGCCUGGAGUGCACGGUCCCACAGUGGGGGCAGGGAGGGACCCAGGAUGAGCCAGCUCCGGGCACACCCCCACCGUGUGUGUGUGUGUGUGUGUGUGUGUGUGUGUGUGUGGUGACCUGGGCUCUGGGCCCUCGGGGGAUCCCCUCCAGACCUACGCCUGGGCCGGGGCUGUAGUCAAGGCUGGGAGGGAUCAAGGUUGGGAGGUGGGGAGACAGAGCGGUGACCAGCAGGUUCCUGUUCUAUGAGCGGCAGUGGGAUGAGGGGGAUGCAUGCCGUGCUGGCCCCCGAACUGUUCUGUCAAGUGUCCCCGGGAAGGGGCUCACCCCCAGCCCGGGAGGAGCUGAUUUUCCAGGUGGGGUGUGGAUCUCGUGAAGUGAGCAGGCAUUGCGGCCCCAGGGUGACUGGAGUGGACGCUGGACCUCAAGCCUGGUGCUCAACCCCGUGCUGCAGCUGCAGCUGCAUCUCCCCGGCAGCUGCUCUGGACCAGAGGAGACCGCUGUGCAAGGUCACCCCUCCCCGGGCCCCCUGCGUCCCCUGACUCAUCACACAGAGUACAGAGGCUCGGGGCCUCCCCUCGGCUGCCGUCCCGCUGCAGAGCGCCAUCCGGAAGCACCACAGCCCAGCCCGCCCUCUGCCCAGGCCCGUGCUCCUCGCUAUUUCAGGCCUUGCUCCCAAAAGCUCCCCCAAACCAUCUGCACAUAAUUCUGCCUUUCCGAGGCUUCCAGAGAUUCCACCCUCCAGGAAGAAGCGCGGCCCCGGCCCCGGUGGUUCCACGACCAGACGUGGGGCGGGGGGCCCGGGGCUCCGCCUGCCCCUGCACUGGCGGAGAGGUGUGGGGCGCUUGGUGACCCGCUGUCCCUGAGAGUCCCCCGACCCUCCCUCCAGCAGGCAGGGGCAGGACGGCAGCGGGAGCCUGUCCCGGGGAAAGAAUGCAGAGCCCACCAGAAGGAGCGCACGGUGCUCUUUGCUCCGUCAGCCAGACCUCUUCCCGGUCUGCGGGGAACGUGAUGGAUGGGCUGGACCGCUCUCCCUGCAACCCGAGAAGGUGUGGACUGCCCAGCCUCCGAGCUGCUGCCCGCAGGAGGGUCCCCACAGGUCGAACCUCGGGGUCGUUCCGCUUGAAAGCCUCCCAGAGGCAGAAGGGGCGUGGGACUGCGCUGGCCGUGUGUCUGGGCUCUGACAUCGGGCCAAACCACCGCAGCACUGGUUCAUCAGAAGGAAAUUUCAACCAGCUGAAAGCACGAGGGAGUCUGACUUCUCGCUGGCAGAGGCCACAGACGCUGCUCCGUGACUUCAGCUGAGCCUCAGUCCUGGGGCGGGGGAUGGGACCCACACAUGCUUCCUUGCAACAUUUAGUUCAAAUUUAGGAGAGAAAGAUGAGUUUCAGACACUAAAAAUAAUCUUCGGGGACUUUUCCAGGAAAAGAAACGGCCCCGCCGCUGGGCCAGGCCUGGGAGAAACGCUUUCCCUCUCCGCUCCGUCUUUGCUGCAUGUGGCGGCCGUGUCCUUGGUGUCCCGAGCUCGGCCUGUAAUUUCCUGAGAACUGGAAAAUCCAGAUGUUCCCCAGUUUAGACUUUCCAGCUCAGAACAAUGAAUUUUAGUAAAAUGUACCCUGGAAGUUCUUUGAAACUUUUUUUUUAAUGGGAUGUGCAUUACAGAAAAGUGCAGAAACCAAAAAAGCAUUGCUCAGUGAAUGACCAUGGAGUAUGUGGCCAGGCGUUGGCAUCCAGGUCCCGGCUGCUGCAGAUGUGACCGCCCCCCUGGAAACCCGUGGGCCCCUCCUACCACAGCCCCUUCACCUAUCUCCAGAGCCCCAGCCACCAGUAACAUUUAUUUUGUUUAAGGAGGUACUGGGGAUUGAACCCAGGACCUUGGGCAUGCUAAGCACACACUCUACCACUGAGCUACACCCUCCCCCAUCCCCAGGCCUUUCUGUAAAAAGAGAAGAAAAUUAGCUUGCUGUUUGAAGGAGAAACCUGCUGGGUGGGAGCCCUGGGGUGGAGGGCCCAGCCUCGGCGGCCCCUCCGGGUGGGAUGGCGGCCUCGCUUUGCUCCCAGCCCAGCCUCA